rnacentral:rRNA from 1 species
UACGGAGGAUGCAAGCGUUAUCCGGAAUUAUUGGGCGUAAAGCGUCCGUAGGUGGCUAAUCAAGUCUGCUGUCAAAGCGUGGAGCUUAACUCCAUAACGGCGGUGGAAACUGAUGAGCUAGAGUGCGAUAGGGGUAGCAGGAAUUCCCAGUGUAGCGGUGAAAUGCGUAGAUAUCUGGAGGAACAUCGGUGGCGAAGGCGACAUCCUGGACCGGUAUUGACGCUGAGGCGCGAAAGCCAGGGGAGCAAACGGG